AGACCUCAGAUCAUUGCACCGCAGCCGGUUUCAGGGUAAUCUCUGGUGGCCAGCUCUAGGGCGGGCGUCUGAACAAAUGCCUGGGAGCACAAACGCACCGUCACCUUGCGCCAAUGGAUCUAAAAGGCGGCCGGAACAAGAGAAACCCUAACUGCCGCUGGAUUUGAGCAGGACUGGCGUGCUCGUUUGCAAAGGAACACAGGCACACAAAUGAUGGCCUUCAGUUGAGAAAUACCAGAGAAACCAUACGGACCAGGGACUUAGAGCUUAAAAUAUGGACUUUUUUGCAGAUGCAAGACAGUUCAUUCUGCAGCUGAACCAAGAAAUACUUUUACCCUACCGACUAGGAGCACCCAUAUCACCCAGGCAUACGUGCAUCACUCGCUCUCAGCGACGUCAGCCGUUCAAAAAAUCUUAAAGAUGUCAAUCUACAACGUGACUGUGUUUCAGAGAGGUGUCCUCGCCCUUGCAGCUGCACACAGAACUGCAACACGGACUGUGGUAGCGGUGGUGCGAGUUAACCUGCGACUUCAGCCUCGCAAGACUAGCCGCUCUGGUUACCCUAGCACAAGAGGCAGCGACGAGUUCACUUCUAGUGAAGUGUUGACACACACGAGGACACGCUUUUCAAAAACUCUUCCCUAUUUGAAGGGGACAGUUGUCGUGCCUCUCGCUGCUACGCCGCUGCGCGUUCCAGGCAAAGCCGAUAGCUUCUUUUGGAAACGGCAAUUUAAAGCAACAGCUCGACUGCACACGCGCACCGAGCCCUCGCUCGGUCCUUGCUGCGGAUGGAAGUCGCCUGCAUCUCCCUUACGCUGCUUAUCUGUGCUGGCCAGGACACUGUACGGAGCAAACAGAUCUCUACCAACCCGGAGCCAUUUAAAUAAGACGGAAUGCUGUUUUUCUUAGGGUCGGGUAAUCCUCUGCGCGGAGGCUGUACAAUAGCUAGCGCUCACAGGGAAGUGCAAGGGCCGAGACGGUUACUCUAACAGAAAAACAACACCGCAGGGGCGGCGUGCGAAACCGGGGGCGGUGGUCGGGUAAGGAUACGUCACUCUGGGAGAGAAGAUAGGUCAAGGGACUGGAAACACAGGGAACGCCAAACCAUUUGAUGCAAGCGACCGAAAGACUUGCCCGGCCAGGCCGCACUGUCCGCAGAGCCUGGGCUCUGUUCUGGUGGAGUUGUCCAUUUUUUUUCUAAAAUUCUUUUCAAAAAGAAAACCUUCCCAGUUUGGCUUGGUACAAUACGGAGUCAUGGUUUAUGCUUCUCUACUCUCCCUACCCCUCCUCCCGCAUGUUAAACAGACCAGAGACCUGACAUUUUAUGUUGUUUGUUUGAAAUGAUAAACUUAAUCAUGAGUGAAAUGUUAGGAAGUGACAGCGCUGGCCACAGUAAGGUCAUUUCUCGUUUCAGCCAAGUACAAUACAGCUUUCCCUUAAUUGCAUUGCCAGUCCUUGCCACAGGAGGACCCAGGCAUUUGCAAGUGGGGAACUGAAUCUGUCUUUGUGAUAAUUAAACCAUGGACCUCUGUAAAGGCUGCCAAAUCUGCCAUAUGGUAGUUUUAUGACCUAGACUGCUGUUAUCUCUUGAGAAAGCUAACAUCCUAAUCUCAUUUUAGUUAUCUGUGAUCAGAACCCAUAUUUCUAGAGGGCAAAAUGCAGGAGUACUGCUUGUUGCAGAGCAUCCUAAAGCAAUGAAAUUUUUUUCAGUGGUCCACAUUAAUAAAAUGAAGAGAGAACUCAUUAUUGACAUACCGGAAUUAAAACCAAAAUCAAGGAGCUAAAACCAAAUAACCCAUGGGUUACCUGCACAUAGAUUUUAACAUCUCACAGCAAAAGAUUCCUGGGACUCGACUUUGGACAGAUGAGCGCUCUGACAAGUAAUUAAAACAUUCGUUGCAGGAAGGCUGUGAAAAAGCCGCCAAAUUUUUCCAGUGCAAACACAUUAUUUUAAAACACAAAUGCUUUAAAACCCUUCCGAAGGGUUAGUCCCUUUGGAAGCCUGAUAUCAUUUACCGCAACCACACUGCUCUAAGAGCAUCCUCGUGAGCUGUCUGAGAGCUGGGCAAAUACUUCACAGGAAGAGAAAGCCAGACUGUAAGAUGCCGGUACAAAGAACGAACGCAUCAAAACCGGUGCUGGAUAAUGCUUUAUGGCCGGCCCUUCUAAUGCUGCCAUUAUUUCAAUAAAUUAACACUAAUUUGUCUUCAAAUCUGCAAUACAUCCACCUGAGCACUUGCACUGUGGUUCAGAAACAUUGCCCUUUAGAACUAAAAUACAAAUGCUUACCAGCUGUGGUCACCUUCUGACAUAUCUUUUGGGGCUGGAUCAUUUCAUAACCAGGAGAACGCAUCUGUUCCUUUCAGCAAGGUUACGUCUUCAAAAGUGCAUUGAAAGCAUAAGAAACAGGUGGCAUAUUUUUCAUCUCGCUGGCAGCAAGCAAACACACAGGCUAUAUUCUUUGAUGGCUAAGAGAGCCUUAAAUACAGGUAUCUUUAGUAGUUGAAAUUGCCAUUUGAAGAAGAUGCUUGUAGAUGUUUGGGGAUGGGAUAUUUCUUUGCAGAGAAAGACCUAAUGGCUGCUCAGGUCUACACUGAGCUCCCCAGACCGAUGACCUUCAUCACGUUUAUCGGCUGGACAGACACUCUUAUCGAGAGAUUACAUAGGGCUGUUUUUACAGAAAUAUUCUGGUUAUAUGAUCUAGAUAAUGUAGCCUGUUAUAAAUCACCCUGGUUGUCCCUUGGUAUUUUGAAAACUGAUGAGACUGCCGAUUCUUGCUUCUUACUUUGUAUGCAAAUGAUGAAUUAUAGAUGGGAAAUAGGAAAAAGAAGGUUUUACUCAUUUGCUGGAUUGAAACAGACUGGAUUAGUGAGCGAGCAGUAGUACCCUUGGACUAUUUAUUGUGACAUUGCUUAGAAAAAUUCAAACCCCAAAGCCUUCAAAUCACUGGGGACAUUGUUAGCCUUCUGCAGGAAUUAUUAAAAUGUACAGAAAUGUAUGAGCAUCACUUUAUAAUAAUUAAUCAGGGGCUGUUGAUUAAUAAAGCUCAUUUUUUAGUCCCGAUGAUUCAGGGUAUUAUCCAAAGGACAGUGUCCUUGUCAUAUUGAUUAAGAAACCAGACUUUGCCGUGGAAGAAAGUGUAAGAACACUCGCGCUUCUUCCUUUCCCCCUCCCCCCAUAUAAAAUAAAUAUUGAAUGAGAAUAUUAACUCGUUAACCUUGACAACAAUUUGUAAUUUUCAUAAGGAGGAAAACUCGCAUAUUCAGCAAAUAAAUUGCUGCAGGGAUUUCAGGGAAACAAAUUGGAGAGAAUGAAGAAUGCUACCAUAUGAAUUCUGUCGUUUUUAUGGGCUGCGAUGAUAAAUUUGUUUGGUUAUGUCCCUCAAUUAAGGCCACAAAUACUGUAAAGCGUCAGAAGCGAGUUAACUGGUAGAGCUGGUACAGAGAAGUCUGGGUGACAGUCUAAGGUCAUUCAGGAAGCGAAGUUUUCUUUCUUCUUUUAGAUCUGGCUCAGAUCUGGAGCAAACAUCUUAACCGAGUUACAGAGUGCAUCCUCUGUUCAGCAUAUUAAUCCCCUUAAAGCCUUUGUUAAAAGAUAACUCCGUUUAUUAGGUAUUGCAUGAGAAAAUCUUUAUGUGGAAUUAACAGCACCAGUCACAGGUUUUACAGGGUUAUCUAAUUAUUCUGAACUCGGUUUAACCAGGAAUGCAGGUAAAAUAAAUAAUUUGUAACCUGUUUACCUCUGCAGUCGGCGAGCACUAUUUUUUAACCCCCUAUAAAAACGUUAUGCUUUGAAACUUGAGCUGGAUUGCUCUCUUAAUGAUUACAGGAAAAAUGGACACUCUCUGCUCCUUCACGUGUUUCCAGCUGUAAAAACCUUAUUUGUUCAGAUGACUAAGUCAGCAAGCCAGCAAAACACAUUUAAGCACAUGCCUAGUUUUAAGCUUGUUUUGCCUCAACUGACAUCGAGUAAUACUACGCACGCUUAAAAUUAAGCGUACGCUUAACUGCUUUGUUGGAUUACAGCCUAAAUUAUCUAUUAAUCCAAUUGCAUGGUUUCCUCUGAUCACUGCCGUCUUGAAACUCUUACUGUACAAUAGAUUUAAUAUAAAUGCAUUAUGUUUGUCAGGCGUGCCACUAGAUUUGCAUGCUGUCCUUGUCUGCUUGGGCAUAUUAUCAUCCAUAGGAGAAUAUUAAAGAUUUAAUAUGAUUUUUAAAAAUUUAAUUUUAGUGACUUUUUGAAGGGUAUGAAUGAACUGUAUUCUGUUUGGGAAGCUAAAAGGAAAAAUUAAAUAAAAGUGUUUAAUGCUUUAAAGGUCGAGAUAGGGAACACGAGGCACGUGAGAAAAGGCACAUGGAAACUAGCAGCCUUGGAACGGAAAGGCAAGGCAACGCACACUUUGGUGUGCCGUUGGGUACUUUUACAGCAACAAUAACUGGUGCCCGAUUACCUUCUGGUUUUACUGUACUUAUUCUGCAAGGGCUCCCGGAGAGAGGAACGCUGUCCCCCCACCCCAUGCGUAGGAAGCUUGGGCACAGAGCACCUGCCUGCCAGUACCAAAGGUCUCCACGGGAAUUCCCAUUCAUUUCGGCACGUGAACACAUAGGAGGGGCCCAGGUGUUUCGGGAGAGGCGACCGUUGGCAUCGCAGUGCAUUUGCUGCUGUUUUGCCUUUCCAACCUGCACCUUUUGACGGCUGUUUUCCUUGAGGUCCUCGUGCUACUGAAAGCCAUUUUAAGCACACUUAAAAAAAAAAAAGAAAAGCCUCAUAAAUGCACCUUAAGUAAUUUGCCCCCGGUCUCGCAGGACCCUGUGAAGGAACUGCUCCAAGCCCUGCGCACCGUGUCCCCCUCCGCGCGCCCGGCCGGCCCUGACCCUUCCACCUGAGGUCCCGGCCAUCUCGCAGCGACUGGAGCAAGUCGGCAGCCCUGUUCAGCUGCACACGCUGUGCUGCUCUAGCUGAAGUGCGGGAGGAAAAUUUGUGUAACCCUGAGAUGAUGUUAUUAAUACGAAGCGAUGGGCUACACGCUCAGAGAUGCGGUUAUUCGCUCCCGAUGCGUUGUGGAGGAUAAUAGCAAUAAUGACUUUUGCUAAGCCUUUUUUGUCCUCAAAGUGCUAAAAGCAAAAAUAAAUAAAUAAAAAUAAGAAAA